rnacentral:lncRNA from 1 species
CAAGUUUGAGGAUGUGAUCGUCAAAAUUAUAAGAUGGGGAACCUCUUUGGUGAAAAAAAUAUUCUCUCUUUGGUUCAAUAAUUGCAUUGAUAAUUUUAGUACUUUCCAACCUCCUUCCUUCCUUAAAAGGUUCUGACUUUAACAUUUUUAUGGGUAGACAAUUAGGUCCGCAAGCUCCUUUCGGCUAAGGUUCUUAAUUAACGUGACUUUAUAUGCCUAGACAAUUCACAUGCUAGUCCCUACAACUUUCUCCCACUUCAUCAUUCUUCUUUGCUCCUUGCUCUGUUUAUUUUGGAAUAUCCAGAUUAUUCAAUUCCAAGUAAAUAUAUUAUAUUGAUCUCCCCCCUCUCCUUUUGUUUGGGUUUCACCUCGUUCAUAUUAUUAUUUUAUGAUCUUUAAAUGUUUCAUUGAUUAAAUAAUUAUUAAUAUUUGAUUCUUGCUUGUUUUGCUUCUGAAGUAUUUUGAGUGAUAGGCUCAAUUGGAGGAGAUCCGUAGUCGUAACCAUCUAAUCUGAAACAAUUCAGGUAAAUACAUACAACUUUUUUCAAUUAGCGUUUUGUUAAGAAUAUUAUUUUUGGUUUCUUCAAUUUUAUGUGUUCCCCUAAGAGAGAGUCCUAUAA